rnacentral:rRNA from 1 species
GACGAACGCUGGCGGCGUGCUUAACACAUGCAAGUCGAACGGAAAGGCCCCUUUGGGGGUUCUCGGGUGGCGAACGGGGGAGUAACACGUGCGUAACCUGCCCCUGCCUUCGGGAUAACUUCAGGACACUGGGGCUAAUGCCGGAACGGAAUCCUUGCUUCAUGCUGGGGGUUGGAAAGCGUCGGCGGUUUUGGAUGGCCUCGCGGCGUAUCAGCUUGCUGGUGGGGUAGUGGCUUACCGAGGCUUUGUCGGGUAGCCGGCCUGAGGGGGCGACCGGCCACAUUGGGACUUAGAGGCGGCCCAGGCUCCGACGGGUGGCAGCUGUGGGGAAUACUGACCAAUGGGCGGCAGGCUGAUGCAGCAACGCCGCGGGCGGGAUGACGGCCUUCGGGUUGUAAACCGCUUUCAGCAGGGGCGAAGCUUGUGGUGACGGUACCUGCAGAAGAAGCACCGGCUAACUACGUG